rnacentral:antisense_RNA from 1 species
GAACACAAAAUGGCGACACGUGGUUAGCAUUCGUCGCCAACGAGAAAUUGGGGUCGGCCCGAAAGCUCUAGAAUGCACCCCUAUUCCUCCCCGGGGCCAUUCCCGCUCAACGAGUUUUAUGACCUAAAAAACCCCACAGGCUGGUCUGAAGAGGAAGACACUUAAAGAUGAAGUGCUUAAUUCAAGGUCACAGAAUGUCGGGGAUGGACCUCCAGAUUUCCUUACUGGAAAACAAGCUCAGGGCUCCCACUGAUUGUACAUUAUGGUGAGACGUGGUCUUGUAACACAGUGGUUAAGAAUGUGACUUUGGAGCCAGCCUGCUAGGGGCUGAAUUCUGACUCAGCCAUUUAUUAACUGUGUGACCUUAGGUCAUAGAAUUUUCCACACUCCUUGACGGAGGUUCUUAACCCUUAUCCAUCAGCAUUCUCAGACAGCACCUCCGGUUAGGGACAGUAUCUGACCGUCCGACAUCCCUGCAGCCCCCAUGCUGUCACACAGACUCAGCCUCAGGUAGAUGGUUUCCGUAGAUGGUGGCUUUCUUUGGACCCUUGAUAUCAACCAGUUACUAUUUGCUCCUGCAACCACCGCUCUACUUUCUGUCUCUAUGAACUUGACUACUCUAGACACCUCAUCUCAGCAAGGCCCACAUUCUCCCGGUGAAGCCACAGAACCACAGGGAGAAAUCCAUGGACUUGGCCUCGCUCUCUAGGGGACCAGAUGUGC